rnacentral:rRNA from 1 species
UACGUAGGGUGCGAGCGUUAAUCGGAAUUACUGGGCGUAAAGCGUGCGCAGGCGGUUUUAUAAGCCAGAUGUGAAAGCCCCGGGCUCAACCUGGGAAUGGCAUUUGGGACUGUAAGGCUGGAGUAUGGCAGAGGGGACUAGAAUUCCUGGUGUAGCGGUGAAAUGCGCAGAUAUCAGGAGGAACACCGAUGGCGAAGGCAGGUCUCUGGGCAUUAACUGACGCUGAGGAGCGAAAGCAUGGGGAGCGAACAGG